rnacentral:rRNA from 1 species
GACGUAGGUGGCGAACGUUAUCCGGAAUUAUUGGGCGUAAAGGGUGCGUAGGCGGCAUGAUAAGUUAUUGGCGGCAAAUCGAGGCUCAACCUCGUGGAAACUGAUAAUACUGUCUUGCUUGAGUGCAGAAGAGGUUAACGGAACUCCAUGUGGAGCGGUAAAAUGUGUAGAUAUAUGGAAGAACAUCAAUAACGGCGAAGGCAGUUAACUAUUAUGUUACUGACGUUGAGGCACGAAAGCGUGGGGAGCAAAAAGG